UUGUGUGUCGGACUUCUCCUUUCCCCACUAAACUCUGUUUAUCUCAACCCAGGAGUUUUCCAGCUUUUACCCUUCCAGUUCUCUCCCUUAUCCCACUAGUAGGGGAGUGAGCCAGUGAUUUUGUGGGGCUUGGCUGCUGCUUGGCUUGAACCACGACAGAAAGAAUCUCAUUCAUGGACACAACCUUGGACAAAUAUUUGUGUACCAAAAUACCUCAAAACCACUGGUAAAUUCCCAGAGGUGGGUUUUAUUCUGAUUUGUCUUGGGAUCACCACAG